rnacentral:rRNA from 1 species
CCCUUAGAUGUCCUGGGCCGCACGCGCGCUACACUAAGUGUCUGAGAUACGAGUCUGCCUGGUCCGGCAAGGUCUAGGUAAUCGCUAAAAGACACAUCAUGCUUGGGAUAGAUUAUUGCAAAUAUUAAUCUUGAACGAGGAAUUCCUAGUAAGCGCAAGUCAACAGCUUGCGUUGAUUACGUCCCUGCCCUUUGUACACACCGCCCGUCGCUACUACUGAUUGGAUGUUUAAGCGAGGUUCUCGAACUGCUAGCGACUUAGCUUCGGUGAGGUCGCAGUGUGGGAAGUGAACCUAGCUUUGGUGUCUAGAGGAAGUAAAAGUCGUAACA